rnacentral:sRNA from 1 species
UUUAAAGUUUGAGAAU